CCUACGGGAGGCAGCAGUGAGGAAUAUUGGUCAAUGGGCUUACGCCUGAACCAGCCAAGUCGCGUGAGGGAAGACUGCCCUAUGGGUUGUAAACCUCUUUUGUCAGGGAGCAACGCCGGCUACGUGUAGCCGGACUGAGAGUACCUGAAGAAAAAGCAUCGGCUAACUCCGUGCUAGCAGCCGAGGUAAUACGGGGGAUGCGAGCGUUACCUGGAUUUAUUGGGUGUAAGGGGUGCGUUGGCGGAAUGCCAAGUCAGCGGUAAAAUCGCGGGGCUCAACCGCGCUCCGCCGUUGAAACUGGCAUUCUUGAGUGAGCGAGAAGUAUGCGGAAUGCGUGGUGUAGCAGUGAAAUGCAUAGAUAUCACGAAGAACUCCGAUUGCGAAGGCAGCAUACCGGAGCCCAACUGACGCUGAAGCACGAAAGCGUGGGUAUCGAAAAGGAUUAGAUACCCGAGUAGUC
rnacentral:rRNA from 1 species